UCAGGGUUUCAGCAGCAGAGCUGCACUCUGUGGAACUGCAUGGCUGUCAGACUGAACUUAUUUCACCAACUCCUCUGACAACUGCAAGGCGGAUGGGCUUCAGUUUGCCUGACAUAAGCCACCUAAGAUGGUAGAAAGUGAGAAAACUCGGCGUGUAAAGGUAUUCCUUUGUCUCUCCUGCUGCAUUGGACAUGGAGGAAAGACUGAUAAUGAGUGAACUAUCCAAAUGACACCGCCUCAAAUUCUCAAUAUUCUGUCAACAGAACAAUACAACACUAUCAGUCAUUCUCACUUGUGCAGAUCCGGCAGAGUAAAUUGAUCCAUUUUAAACAGUGAUACUGCCUUGAAGUUAGACUUGAUGGACCAAAGAGAAACAAAGAUAUCACGUGAGGCCUUUCCUACUGUUCGUAAGAACAUGCUAAGCUGAAGCAGCAGGUUGUUCAGGAUAAUGAUGGCACAAGCUGCAGUCUGCAACAAAAUGAGCACAAAGACUUUCACUUCACCUAAAGAGCCAGGUUGUUGCUGUGAGAUCAUCGACAUGCACUCUGUUAGUGAGGCUGUGCAGACCAGAAGAAAUCACUGAGAACAGAGAAUCCCUGAAGGCUAUCAUCUCAAGAAGCACAGGACUAGGGUUGCCAAC
ensembl:lncRNA